CCUACGGGAGGCUGCAGUGGGGAAUAUUGCACAAUGGGCGCAAGCCUGAACGAGCAAUGCCGCGUGAACGAGGAAGGUCUUCGGAUCGUAAAGUUCUGUUGAAGGGGAAAAAGAGCGGAGAGAGGAAAUGAACUCCGAUUGAUAUUACCCUUCGAGGAAGUCACGGCUAACUACGUGCCAGCAGCCGCGGUAAUACGUAGGUGGCGAGCGUUAUCCGGAAUGAUUGGGCGUAAAGGGUGCGUAGGCGGCCUGCUAAGUCUGGAGUGAAAGGUACCGGCUCAACCGGUACAGGCUCUGGAAACUGGCGGGCUAGAGGGAAGGAGAGGGCGGUGGAACUCCAUGUGGAGCGGUAAAAUGCGUAGAUAUAUGGAAGAACACCAGUGGCGAAGGCGGCCGCCUGGCCUGUUGACUGACGCUGAGGCACGAAAGCGUGGGGAGCAAAUAGGAUUAGAUACCCUUGUAGUC
rnacentral:rRNA from 1 species